rnacentral:rRNA from 1 species
GACGAACGCUGGCGGCGUGCCUAAUACAUGCAAGUAGAACGCAGUUGCGAACGGGUGAGUAACGCGUAGGUAACUGCCUGGUAGCGGGGGAUAACUAUUUGAAACGAUAGCUAAUACCGCAUACUUCCAUAUGGACCUGCGUUGUAUUAGCUAGUUGGUGAGGUAACGGCUCACUAAGGCAACGAUACAUAGCCGACUUGAGAGGGUGAUCGGCCACACUGGGAAUGAGACCCGGGCCAGACUCCUACGGGAGGGAGCAGUAGGGAAUCUUAGGCAAUGGGGGGAAACCUGACCGAUCAACGCGGCGUGAGUGAAGAAGGUUUUCGGGUAGUAAAGCUCUGUUGUUAAGGAAGCGGUGAUUAACCAGAAAGGGACGGCUAACUACGUGCCAGCAGCCGCGGUAAUAC